AUGACCAGACGAUGGUUUACUGUAUGGCCAAUGCUACAAAUCAACCGGCUGAUGCCGGGAGAUUUAAGCCGCCUCCUUGACCAUAUGAUCAUCCCCACCGCACCGUUGGAUCCUUCCUCUCCAGUCGGUUUGAAUGGUCUACGACUCGCACAAUCUCCUCGUCACAUCGCACAGCAGCCCCCUUCUCUCCUUCAAUCUCGCAGCGCCCGGAGCCGCCGGCGAGCAGCUGCACCGGAGCCCGGGGAGCCACCGGCGACGCUUCACUGCAGUGACUACAACGGCACAGUGGCGCUCCAUCACAGCAUCCGACACCGGCGGCUAUGCCUAUGCUCCAUUGAAACAUCCGCCGUUUCGACGAUGCUUCAUCGCAAUCUAGGUGGCCACCGGCGAAGCUCCAUUGCAGCACCGGUGGCCCUCCGGAGAAGCUCCAUUGAAGCACUCGACGGCCUCGACGGAACUUCAUCGCAACACCGGCGACCGGCCGACAAUACUCCGUUGGCGACAAGGGGUGUUGCAACGCAGCGCACAGCGAAGACGGCUGAAGCUGAGAAUCUGGUAUGCAGCGCCGGCGAACAUGGCGAAUGCUGCGAUGCAACGUUGACCGCGAUGGGUGCUGCGACGCAGCACGACGUCCAUGGCGGAAACUCCAACACAUCGCGCGCGACGACGACAAAAGCUGCGAUGCAGCCACGGGAUAUCGCGAUGCCGCACCGGCUGCCAUGGCGGAUGCUGCGGUGCAACGUUGCCGGAGAUAGGUGCUGCGACGCAGCGCGAGACGACGCCGGCGGCCAUGGCGAAAGCUGCGAUGCAGCGCCGGCGGCCAUGGCGAAAAGCUGCGAUGCAGCACGGGAUGUGCGCGGUGCAGCGCCGUCGGCUACGGCGGGUGCUGCGGGGCAGUGUUGA
rnacentral:rRNA from 1 species